rnacentral:rRNA from 1 species
UACGGGGGGGGGCAAGCGUUGUUCGGAAUUACUGGGCGUAAAGGGCUCGUAGGCGGCCAACUAAGUCAGACGUGAAAUCCCUCGGCUUAACCGGGGAACUGCAUCUGAUACUGGAUGGCUUGAGUUCGGGAGAGGGAUGCGGAAUUCCAGGUGUAGCGGUGAAAUGCGCAGAUAUCAGGAGGAACACCGGCGGCGAAGGCGGAUCUCUGGGCCUUACCUGACGCUCAGGCGCGAAAGCUAGGGGAGCGAACAGG